rnacentral:misc_RNA from 1 species
GAAAUGCGAUAAGUAAUGUGAAUUGCAGAAUUCAGUGAAUCAUCGAAUCUUUGUACGCACAUUGCGCCCGCCAGUAUUCUGGCGGGCAUGCCUGUUCGAGCGUCAUUUCAACCAUCAAGCCCCGGGCUUGUGUUGGGGACCUGCGGCUGCCGCAGGCCCUGAAAACCAGUGGCGGGCUCGCUGUCACACCGAGCGUAGUAGAUUCUCAUCUCGCUCAGGGCGUGCUGCGGGUUCCGGCCGUAAAACAGCCUUAUUUUACCCAAGGUUGACCUCGGAUCAGGUAGGAAGACCCGCUGAACUUAAGC